rnacentral:rRNA from 1 species
GACGAACGCUAGCGGCGUGCCUAAUACAUGCAAGUCGAGCGAAUCACUAGGAGCUUGCUCCUGGUGGUUAGCGGCGGACGGGUGAGUAACACGUGGGCAACCUGCCUGUAAGACUGGGAUAACACCGGGAAACCGGUGCUAAUACCGGAUAAUCCUUUUCCUCUCAUGAGGAAAAGCUGAAAGUCGGUUUCGGCUGACGCUUACAGAUGGGCCCGCGGCGCAUUAGCUAGUUGGUGAGGUAACGGCUCACCAAGGCGACGAUGCGUAGCCGACCUGAGAGGGUGAUCGGCCACACUGGGACUGAGACACGGCCCAGACUCUUACGGGAGGCAGCAGUAGGGAAUCUUCCACAAUGGACGAAAGUCUGAUGGAGCAACGCCGCGUGAGCGAUGAAGGCCUUCGGGUCGUAAAGCUCUGUUGUUAGGGAAGAACAAGUACCGGAGUAACUGCCGGUACCUUGACGGUACCUAACCAGAAAGCCACGGCUAACUUCGUGCCAGCCGCCGCGGUAAUAC